GACGAACGCUGGCGGCGUGCUUAACACAUGCAAGUCGAGCGGUAAGGCCCUUUCGGGGGUACACGAGCGGCGAACGGGUGAGUAACACGUGGGUGACCUGCCCUCAGCUCUGGGAUAAGCCUGGGAAACCGGGUCUAAUACCGGAUAUGACUCCAUGACGCAUGUUGUGGGGUGGAAAGCCUUGUGCGGCUGAGGAUGGGCCCGCGGCCUAUCAGCUUGUUGGUGGGGUGAGGCCUACCAAGGCGACGACGGGUAGCCGGCCUGAGAGGGCGACCGGCCACACUGGGACUGAGACACGGCCCAGACUCCUACGGGAGGCAGCAGUGGGGAAUCUUGCGCAAUGGGCGAAAGCCUGACCCAGCAACGCCGCGUGAAGGAGGAAAUCCUUCGGGAUGUAACUUCAUAAGUAAGGGAAGAAAGCUGCGGAUCGAAUAAGUCCG
rnacentral:rRNA from 1 species